rnacentral:rRNA from 2 species
AGACCCGAAACCCGGUGAUCUAGCCAUGGGCAGGUUGAAGGUUGGGUAACACUAACUGGAGGACCGAACCGACUAAUGUUGAAAAAUUAGCGGAUGACCUGUGGCUGGGGGUGAAAGGCCAAUCAAACCGGGAGAUAGCUGGUUCUCCCCGAAAGCUAUUUAGGUAGCGCCUCGUGAAUUCAUCUCCGGGGGUAGAGCACUGUUUCGGCUAGGGGGCCAUCCCGGCUUACCAACCCGAUGCAAACUGCGAAUACCGGAGAAUGUUAUCACGGGAGACACACGGCGGGUGCUAACGUCCGUCGUGAAGAGGGAAACAACCCAGACCGCCAGCUAAGGUCCCAAAGUCAUGGUUAAGUGGGAAACGAUGUGGGAAGGCCCAGACAGCCAGGAUGUUGGCUUAGAAGCAGCCAUCAUUUAAAGAAAGCGUAAUAGCUCACUGGUCGAGUCGGCCUGCGCGGAAGAUGUAACGGGGCUAAACCAUGCACCGAAGCUGCGGCAGCGAACGUAUCACCCAAGACAACUUUACGGAGUUGACGAUUGACGGAGCGAAGCGACGUCAAAGCGUUCAUUAAAGUCGAGUUGGCUUAGGGAUACGUUCGUUGGGUAGGGGAGCGUUCUGUAAGCCUGUGAAGGUGUGUCGUGAGGCAUGCUGGAGGUAUCAGAAGUGCGAAUGCUGACAUAAGUAACGAUAAAGCGGGUGAAAAGCCCGCUCGCCGGAAGACCAAGGGUUCCUGUCCAACGUUAAUCGGGGCAGGGUGAGUCGACCCCUAAGGCGAGGCCGAAAGGCGUAGUCGAUG